rfam:Salmo salar isolate Sally breed double haploid chromosome ssa14, whole genome shotgun sequence.
UGCAUUCACUAUUGUAAGUCGCUCUGGAUAAGAGCAUCUGCUAAAUGACUAAAA